rnacentral:rRNA from 1 species
GACGAACGCUGGCGGCGUGCCUAAUACAUGCAAGUAGAACGCACAGUUUAUACCGUAGCUUGCUACACCAUAGACUGUGAGUUGCGAACGGGUGAGUAACGCGUAGGUAACCUGCCUGGUAGCGGGGGAUAACUAUUGGAAACGAUAGCUAAUACCGCAUAAUAUUGAUUAUUGCAUGAUAAUUGAUUGAAAGAUGCUAUUGCAUCGCUACCAGAUGGACCUGCGUUGUAUUAGCUAGUAGGUGAGGUAACGGCUCACCUAGGCGACGAUACAUAGCCGACCUGAGAGGGUGAUCGGCCACACUGGGACUGAGACACGGCCCAGACUCCUACGGGAGGCAGCAGUAGGGAAUCUUAGGCAAUGGACGAAAGUCUGACCGAGCAACGCCGCGUGAGUGAAGAAGGUUUUCGGAUCGUAAAGCUCUGUUGUAAGAGAAGAACGGGUGUGAGAGUGGAAAGUUCACACUGUGACGGUAUCUUACCAGAAAGGGACGGCUAACUACGUG